rnacentral:rRNA from 1 species
UACGUAGGAGGCAAGCGUUGUCCGGAAUCACUGGGCGUAAAGCGUGUGUAGGUGGAAGAGGAAGUCUGCUGUGAAAGCGCCUGGCUUAACCGGGCGAGGUCGGUGGAAACUCCUCAUCUCGAGGGCGGUAGAGGGGGGUGGAAUUCCGGGUGUAGUGGUGAAAUGCGUAGAGAUCCGGAGGAACACCAAUGGCGAAGGCAGCUCGCUGGGACGGUACUGACGCUGAGACGCGAAAGCGUGGGGAGCAAACAGG